rnacentral:rRNA from 1 species
CUGCUAUCGGAUGAUACUAAGCCAUGCGAGUCUUGCAGUAAUACAAGGCAGACGGCUCAGUAACACGUAGUCAACCUACCCUAUGGACGAGAAUAAUCUCGGGAAACUGAGCAUAAUUCUUGAUAGAUCAUAAUGCCUGGAAUGGUUUAUGGUUAAAAUGAUUCGUCGCCAUAGGAUGGGACUGCGGCCUAUCAGCUUGUUGGUGAGGUAAUGGCCCACCAAGGCGAUUACAGAUACGGGCUCUGAGAGGAGAAGCCCGGAGAUGGGUACUGAGACACGGACCCAGGCCCUAUGGGGCGCAGCAGGCGAGAAAACUUUGCAAUGUGCGAAAGCACGACAAGGUUAAUCCGAGUGAUUUCUGCUAAAGAAAUCUUUUGCCAGUCGUAAAACCGCUGGUGAAUAAGGGGUGGGCAAGUUCUGGUGUCAGCCGCCGCGGUAAAACCAGCACCUCAAGUGGUCAGGAUGAUUAUUGGGCCUAAAGCAUCCGUAGCCGGCUUUGUAAGUUUUCGGUUAAAUCCAUGUGCUCAACGCAUGGGCUGCCGAAAAUACUGCAUAGCUAGGGAGUGGGAGAGGUAGACGGUACUCAGUAGGUAGGGGUAAAAUCCUUUGAUCUAUUGAUGACCACCUGGGGCGAAGGCGGUCUACCAGAACACGUCCGACGGUGAGGGAUGAAAGCUGGGGGAGCAAACCGGAUUAGAUACCCGGGUAGUCCCAGCCGUAAACUAUGCAAACUCAGUGAUGCAUUGGCUUGUGGCCAAUGCAGUGUUGCAGGGAAGCCGUUAAGUUUGCCGCCUGGGAAGUACGUACGCAAGUAUGAAACUUAAAGGAAUUGGCGGGGGAGCACCAC